AUGGUUCCAGGCUGGAGCGCUCCCACCCUGCUACCAAACCUCCACCUGCAGAAGGAAACCACGGGGCCUGCCCCUGCCCCGAGCACUCAGCCCUCCAGGAAACCAGGAACGGACCUGCUGGCAACUGGGGGCUCUCUGCUUUCAGUGGGUUUAAAUCUUGAUAAAAAAAUAACCUCCCCUCUGCCCCAUGCUUCCCACCCCCCUCUCCCAACUCUUUACAUUUUCCCGGCGCUGCCGAGUCCCUUUUCCUGCUGGAUUUUGCAACCUUCUGGCAGGACUGGGCAAGCUCUGCCCGUUGCACCGUGCAGUGCUGGCAGCCGCCCGUCCUGCCUUCUGCUGCCACAGACCCCCCGCCCCAAGCUCCCCCCCCAGUCGCAGAGCAGCACGGUGACCAGUCCACACGAUGGUGUACAAAGCUUUUUUUUUUUUUUUUUUUUUCUCCUUUUCCAAAGUAAUCCGUAUUUUGGAUCACCCCGAUCGCAGCAAAUUAGCACCUUGGAGCAUGCCUUUGCCUGGGCACGAUAAAGACCUGCUGUGGCUUUGCUGCAAGAGAUGCCACAACCAAGCUUUAGAAAACGGGGGCUCCUGGACCCCGUGCUGCUUCCCCCCCCCCCUCCUUUUUCUUUUUUUUUUUUAAGCAAACAGCUUAAAGCUCAGCACCAGUCACCAGCUGAUAUGCACCUCCAGCUGCUGCGGCAUUGCAUGAAAGCUGUCUGUCCUCUUCAUCUGCUUCCUAAAACACCAGCCUGCAGAGGGUUUGGGUUGUCCUUUUGGAGGGUUUUUUGUCCUCUUGGCCAGGUUCUGUCCCCUUGGCCAGGCUCUGUCCUUCUUUUUGUCCUUUUGGCCACAUUCUGCCCCCUUCAGAGGGUUUCGUCCCCUUCGCAGGGUUCUGUCCCCAUGCUGGGGUUCUGUCCUAGUGGUCGCGUUUCAUCCCUCGGUCGUCUCCCCCACGCUGCGCUGCUCCAAGCCUCCGCCGGCUGACCUUGCACAGCUUUAGCCUCACCUCUGGCCUCUCUCAAAUGCACUUGCACAGGGUCCUGCCCUGUUCACCCCUAGCUUUGCCCCCCAGCAACAGUCAGACCCCCAGGCACGGAGGAGAGCUGGGGGGCUGCCCCAGCUCCGUGGGCUCUCAGCCGCCCGCGGCGUUUCACCCCGCUCAGAGCAUCUCCAGCCCGGCCAUGGGGCUCAGGGGUUUGGGAGCAGUGCCCUA
rnacentral:lncRNA from 1 species